rnacentral:rRNA from 1 species
AGGAAGUUGGUGCCCGUACCGCAAACCGACACAGGUAGGUGAGGAGAGAAUCCUAAGACCAGCGGAAGAAUUGUUGUCAAGGAACUCGGCAAAUUGACCCCGUAAGUUAGCGAUAAGGGGUGCCUACGCAAGUAGGUCGCAGAGAAUAGGCCCAAGCAACUGUUUAGCAAAAACACAGGUCUCUGCUAAAGCGAAAGCUGAUGUAUAGGGGCUGACGCCUGCCCGGUGCUGGAAGGUUAAGGGGAACACUUAGCGCAAGCGAAGGUGUGAACUUAAGCCCCAGUAAACGGCGGCCGUAACUAUAACGGUCCUAAGGUAGCGAAAUUCCUUGUCGGGUAAGUUCCGACCCGCACGAAUGGCGUAAUGACUUGGGCACUGUCUCGACAACAAAUCCGGCGAAAUUGUAGUGCAAGUGAAGAUGCUUGCUACCCGCGAUUGGACGGAAAGACCCCGUAGAGCUUUACUGUAGCUUAGCAUUGAGUUUCGGUAUUGUCUGUACAGGAUAGGUGGGAGACUGAGAAGUAAGGGCGUCAGCUCUUAUGGAGUCAUCCUUGGGAUACCACCCUGACAGUACUGGGAUUCUAACCGGCGGCCUUGAAUCAGGUCACGGGACAUUGUUAGGUGGGCAGUUUGACUGGGGCGGUCGCCUCCUAAAAAGUAACGGAGGCGCCCAAAGGUUCCCUCAGAACGGUUGGAAAUCGUUCGUAGAGUGCAAAGGCAGAAGGGAGCCUGACUGCGACACAUACAAGUGGAGCAGGGACGAAAGUCGGGCUUAGUGAUCCGGUGGUUCCUCGUGGGAGGGCCAUCGCUCAACGGAUAAAAGCUACCUCGGGGAUAACAGGCUGAUCUCCCCCAAGAGUCCACAUCGACGGGGAGGUUUGGCACCUCGAUGUCGGCUCGUCGCAUCCUGGGGCUGAAGUAGGUCCCAAGGGUUGGGCUGUUCGCCCAUUAAAGCGGCACGCGAGCUGGGUUCAGAACGUCGUGAGACAGUUCGGUCCCUAUCCGUCGCGGGCGUAGGAAAUUUGAGAGGAGCUGUCCUUAGUACGAGAGGACCGGGAUGGACUGACCUCUGGUGCACCAGUUGUUCCGCCAGGAGCACAGCUGGGUAGCUAUGUCGGGACGGGAUAAACGCUGAAAGCAUCUAAGCGUGAAGCCCACCUCAAGAUUAGAUUUCCCAUAGCGUAAGCUAGUAAGACCCCUUGAAGAACACAAGGUUGAUAGGUCAGAGGUGUAAGCAUGGUAACAUGUUCAGCUGACUGAUACUAAUAGGUCGAGGGCUUGACCAAUAA